rnacentral:rRNA from 1 species
AACGAACGCUGGCGGCAUGCCUAACACAUGCAGGUCGAACGAGACCUUCGGGUCUAGUGGCGCACGGGUGCGUAACGCGUGGGAAUCUGCCCUUGGGUUCGGAAUAACAGUUGGAAACGACUGCUAAUACCGGAUGAUGACGUAAGUCCAAAGAUUUAUCGCCCAAGGAUGAGCCCGCGUAGGAUUAGCUAGUUGGUGAGGUAAAGGCUCACCAAGGCGACGAUCCUUAGCUGGUCUGAGAGGAUGAUCAGCCACACUGGGACUGAGACACGGCCCAGACUCCUACGGGAGGCAGCAGUGGGGAAUAUUGGACAAUGGGCGAAAGCCUGAUCCAGCAAUGCCGCGUGAGUGAUGAAGGCCUUAGGGUUGUAAAGCUCUUUUACCCGGGAUGAUAAUGACAGUACCGGGAGAAUAAGCUCCGGCUAACUCCGUG